CUUUCUUUCCAUUCCAACAAACAUUUCUCGUUUUUGAUUUGAUGUUAAAUGUGUUGAGAAAUUAAUACGUUUUGAUUCGUAUUGGCAACUAGUUUAAUUAAACUAAUUAAGAUUUUUAUACUCCAUAGUUUAAUGUAUUAUUGUUGUGUCUGACGUUCUAGAAAGCGUUAAAAAGUAGGAUGGCGGUGCUAGCGGCAGCACAACUCCUAGAUGAAUUGAUGGGCAGGCACCGGAACACCGAUCCCAAUGAAAAAAUUAAAAAGCCUAAUUGGGAAGAUCCUGAGUACUGCAAAUACUACAUGGUAAAGUUCUGUCCGCAUGAUCUGUUCGUUAAUACUAGAGCUGAUCUUGGUGCUUGUCCUAAAGUCCACGAUGAAGAAGUCAAAGAGCUUUUUGAGAAAGCCGACCCAUCAUAUAAGAAGUCUCAGUAUGUUGAAGAGUUUCUACGGUUCUGUAAACAUAUGAUUAAUGAUGUAGAAAGGAAAAUACAAAAAGGAAAACAAAGAUUGGAUCUAAUGAACUCAAAACCAGAGGGCCCACCAAUGACUCAAGCACAGACUGAGAAGAAUCAGGAACAGGUUUCGUUGCUGUCUGAAAAAAUUACGGGCUUGGUACAAGAAGCUGAAGAAGCGGGUAUAAGAGGGGAUGUAGAGCAAGCCCAGGGUUUGAUGAAGCUUUGUGACAGGCUCAAGGAAGAAAAAGAACAGCUGCUUAAACAACAAGAAAAUAGCCAUUGGUCUAUGACAGCUGAACUAGCAGCUGCUCAGGAGAAGCAAAUGGAAGUCUGCCCUGUAUGCGGAGCCUUUCUUAUUGUUGGCGACGCUCAACAGAGAAUCGAUGAUCACUUGUCUGGGAAACAGCAUGUUGGAUACUUCAAACUUCGCCAAGCUUACGAAGACAUGACCGAAGCUCGUGAGAAAGAACAACAAGAAAAAGAGAAGAGGCGUCGUGAAGAGAGGGAAAGAGAAAGAAACACUCGUUCUGGAGGACUCGGAUCCGAUCGCCGUGAUCGAGAACGCAUGGAACGCGAUCGAGAGCGGGAGCGAGACCGCGGCGACCAACGUAGUGACCAACGAGGAGAACGUGGUGAACAACGCGGAGGAGAACGCGGCGAUCGCGUCGAACGAAGCGAGAGAGGCGAGAGGGAACGGGACAGAGAACGUGAGAGGGACCGACAUCGCGAUCGAUCAAGUCGAGACGAGCGAGGCGGCCGCCACGAAGAGCGGGAUCGGGACCGUGAACGUGAUCGCGACCGGGAACGAAAACAUCGUAAAGAAAGAAGGUCGUCUCACGAGCGCUCCCGUCGUCGAUCUCGAGAUCGCCACUAGCACUUGACUGAGGUAUCACAAAAGCACCUCGAUCCGGUAAGUAUAAUAAAUCAAUUUAACAGUACGCGACGUCCGGAUACGACACACAAUCAAUCCAUCUUAUGCCAUACAGUCCGAUUAUUUUUUUAUCACUCAUGUUUUUUUUUUCUUUUUCUUUUAUUUCAACAUCCGCCGACUGUUAAUACAAUAAGUAAUAAAGUGAACAAUGUUGUUUUGCAGCUUAAUGUGUAGCAUACCAAAAUAUAACUUCGGUAUAUGGCAUACAUAUCGGGAAUAAAUGACCCCGUUGCACUCUCUGUAACGUAGUUGUCGUCACACCGGCGGACAUGGCAGUGGGGAAAAUAUGAAGGAAGAUGGCCGGCUUCUCGGAGAGGACCACAGACAAUGAGGUACUUAUGAAAUUAAGACACCCCCGCGAAGAGUUCAACCAGUGCAGUAAUCGACCAUCUGUCUCGAGGUGACCUAGGAUAGUCAUAUUAUAAUAAUUAUAAGAUUAUUUCGAUGUUAGUGAACCUUCCAAACAUUAGAUGCAAUGCAUGUCGUCUAAAUUCAGAUGGGCACUUUAAUCCGCCUCUUCCACACUUCUUUUCAAACAAGAUUAUGUAGCUGUUAAUUUUUUUAAAUCCUCUAUUGAAGUGUGUAAGAAGUGAAGAUUUAGAUUAUUGUCUAUAAAUAAUGUAAACAUGUAACUACCUCUGCAAAUUGUUCGAUCCCUAGGAUGGUCACUCAUUCCUAAAACGAGUCUCCAAUGAGGAGUGUUUCAGGUAUUUAUGACAUUUUUAUUUCAUCCUAAUGUUUGUUAAUUUUUUUCUUUGGAUAGUAAAGUGUGAGUAGGACUAAUUUCAAACAAAUAAAAGUUAACCA
rnacentral:misc_RNA from 1 species